rnacentral:rRNA from 1 species
UCGAACGGUAACAGGAAGUGCUUGCACUUCGCUGACGAGUGGCGGACGGGUGAGUAAUGCUUGGGAACUUGCCUUUGCGAGGGGGAUAACAGUUGGAAACAACUGCUAAUACCGCAUAACGUCUACGGACCAAACGGGGCUUCGGCUCCGGCGCAAAGAGAGGCCCAAGUGAGAUUAGCUAGUUGGUAAGGUAAAGGCUUACCAAGGCAACGAUCUCUAGCUGUUCUGAGAGGAAGAUCAGCCACACUGGAACUGAGACACGGUCCAGACUCCUACGGGAGGCAGCAGUGGGGAAUAUUGCACAAUGGGGGAAACCCUGAUGCAGCCAUGCCGCGUGUGUGAAGAAGGCCUUCGGGUUGUAAAGCACUUUCAGUUGUGAGGAAAAGUUAGUAGUUAAUACCUGCUAGCCGUGACGUUAACAACAGAAGAAGCACCGGCUAACUCCGUGCCAGCAGCCGCGGUAAUACGGAGGGUGCGAGCGUUAAUCGGAAUUACUGGGCGUAAAGCGCACGCAGGCGGUUUGUUAAGCUAGAUGUGAAAGCCCCGGGCUCAACCUGGGAUGGUCAUUUAGAACUGGCAGACUAGAGUCUUGGAGAGGGGAGUGGAAUUCCAGGUGUAGCGGUGAAAUGCGUAGAUAUCUGGAGGAACAUCAGUGGCGAAGGCGACUCCCUGGCCAAAGACUGACGCUCAUGUGCGAAAGUGUGGGUAGCGAACAGGAUUAGAUACCCUGGUAGUCCACACCGUAAACGCUGUCUACUAGCUGUGUGUGCCUUUAAGGCUGUGCGUAGCGAAACUAAC